rnacentral:lncRNA from 1 species
GAUAUCUGAGAUGAGUAAGAACAGAGAGCACAGUAUAGUAUCUGAGAAAAGAAUAAUGUCUGAUUUUUUUAUUCAUCACUUUUUUUUUUUUUUUUCUUGGCAUCUUUCAGAUGGAAUGGAUAGAUUUCCUAGACCUACAGCUUACUCUCAACUGAAAUGUACCUGGUGUAGACAAUACAGAUCAACCACAGGAAAGACAUCUUCAGAAAAUAAUCUGAAAGAUACAUUCCACUUUACCUGGAAGAGCUCAACUCAUUUUGAAGACCUCUAUUCAGAAAAUAACUGCAACAAUCUGUCCACGGAGUGCUGUUAUUCUGAGACCAUAGUUGUCUAG